UGAUUUCAGGGUAAUCUAGUAACCAUGAUUAUUGGUGUCUACAGUGGCAAUGAGUUCUUUUGGGAUCUCGUGGUGACUGCUGAUGGUAUUCUCCUGAUCUCUUUUUCUUUUACAGAAAUAUUUGCGACUGAGUAAGAGGACGUUGCAGCCUGGCAGCAGAUAUCGCCAGCCCAUGGGGACAAGCGACCAGGAAGCCGCUCCCUCCCAGAUGGGCCGCCAUGGCUAACUGGGACCUCCAGCACCAACAAGAUGACAUGAUCUUUUACCAGGAAAGACCCCAAAAAUUCCAACAGAAGACUCAUAGAACUAAUAAAUUCAGCAAAAUGGCAGGAUACAAAAUCAACACACAACAAUCAAUAGUGUUCCUGUACAC
rnacentral:lncRNA from 1 species